UGGGGAAUAUUGGACAAUGGGCGCAAGCCUGAUCCAGCCAUGCCGCGUGAGUGAUGAAGGUCUUAGGAUUGUAAAGCUCUUUCACCGGAGAAGAUAAUGACGGUAUCCGGAGAAGAAGCCCGGCUAACUUCGUGCC
rnacentral:rRNA from 1 species